rnacentral:rRNA from 1 species
ACAAAUGUUGGGGAUGUCCUACAUGGCUCCCAAACAAACCCAUACCCGGGUCCUUUUCCUUGAUGCUGCCAGUCCAUGUCCUACCCGGUCCUUGGAGCUGAGGUGUCUUGGGGAGGAUCUAUUUUCAAACAUUUACCCAACUUGUCGUCUGAGAAGGCUUCGUGCCGAAAUCAUUAAACAUGUUAAAACUUUCAACAACGGAUCUCUUGGCUCUCGCAUCGAUGAAGAACGCAGCGAAAUGCGAUAAGUAAUGUGAAUUGCAGAAUUCAGUGAAUCAUCGAAUCUUUGAACGCACAUUGCGCCCUUUGGUAUUCCUCAGGGCAUGCCUGUUCGAGCGUCACUAACAACCAUUUCACAUCUAAUGUGGUAUUGGCUGAUGUGGGUAGCGCCUCCUGUGCUGGCUCCACUCAGCUGAAAUCCAUAGGCCAGAGAAGCAACCCAUGGCAACAGACUCACAGAGUAUGAAACAAUGCUAAACUAGUCUGUAGUGGGUAGAACUCUGUGUCAUUGGACCCCCAGUCCAGCUACACCAGAGAGGUUGACCUCGAAUCAGGUAGGGAUACCCGCUGAACUUUAA